UACGUAGGGUGCAAGCGUUAAUCGGAAUUACUGGGCGUAAAGCGUGCGCAGGCGGUGAUGCAAGACAGAUGUGAAAUCCCCGGGCUCAACCUGGGAACUGCAUUUGUGACUGCAUCGCUGGAGUGCGGCAGAGGGGGAUGGAAUUCCGCGUGUAGCAGUGAAAUGCGUAGAUAUGCGGAGGAACACCGAUGGCGAAGGCAAUCCCCUGGGCCUGCACUGACGCUCAUGCACGAAAGCGUGGGGAGCGAACAGG
rnacentral:rRNA from 1 species